CCCCUAGACGUUCUGGGCUGCACGCGCGCUACAAUAAUACGCACAGCGAGUAUCACCGAGCUCGAAAGGGCAAGGUAAACAAUAGAAAAGGUACUGUAAUGGUUAUAGAUCCUUGUAAUUAUUGAUCUUCAACGAGGAAUUCCUAGUAAGUAUGUGUCAUCAUCACGCACUGAUUACGUCCCUGCCCUUUGUACACACCGCCCGUCGCUCCUACCGAUUGAGUGAGCCGAUGAAACUGCCGGAUGUGGACUAUUCAUAGUCUGCAGAAGAUAUUUGAAUCGUAGCGCUGAGAGGAAGGAGAAGUCGUAACA
rnacentral:rRNA from 1 species